ACGCUGGGCGGCGUGGAUUAGGCAUGACAAGUCGAACGCGAAACGUUCCCUUCGGGGGAGCGAGUAGAGUGGACGAAAGGGUGAGUAAUGCUUGGAUGACCUGCCCUCGAGACGGGGACAACAGUUCGAAAGGACUGCUAAUACCCGAUAGUCCGGUUUAGAUGCGUCUAGAUCGGUAAAUGGUGCUUCCGCUCGAGGAGGGGUUCAAGUCCUAUCAGCUUGUUGGUGAGGUAACGGCUCACCAAGGCGAUGACGGGUAGCCGGACUGAGAGGUUGGCCGGCCACAUGGGAACUGAGACACUGUCCUGACUCCUACGGGAGGCUGCAGUCGAGAAUCUUCUGCAAUGGGCGAAAGCCUGACAGAGCGACGCCGCGUGGAGGAUGAAGGCCCUCGGGUCGUAAACUCCUGUCACAUGUUAUGAAACGCACAGGUCUACCUGUGCGCUGACAAAAGCAUGAGAGGAAGUCACGGCUAACUUCGUG
rnacentral:rRNA from 1 species